AACGAACGCUGGCGGCAUGCCUAACACAUGCAAGUCGAACGAGACCUUCGGGUCUAGUGGCGCACGGGUGCGUAACGCGUGGGAACCUGCCCUUAGGUUCGGAAUAACUCCCCGAAAGGGGUGCUAAUACCGGAUAAUGUCUUCGGACCAAAGAUUUAUCGCCUUUGGAUGGGCCCGCGUUGGAUUAGCUAGUUGGUAGGGUAAAAGCCUACCAAGGCGACGAUCCAUAGCUGGUCUGAGAGGAUGAUCAGCCACACUGGGACUGAGACACGGCCCAGACCCCGGCGGGGGGCAGGAAGGGGAAAUAUUAGCAAGGGGAAAAAAGCUUUAUCCGGCAUCGCCGGGAAAAGAAAAAGGGCCUUGGGUUUGUAAACUUUUUUUCCCGGUGAUAAUAAUACCAGUCCCGGGGAAAAAGGCUCGGGCUACCCCGGUC
rnacentral:rRNA from 1 species